rnacentral:rRNA from 1 species
UACAGGGGGUGCAAACGUUGCUCGGAAUUAUUGGGCGUAAAGCGCGCGUAGGCGGCUACUUAAGUCGGAUGUGAAAGCCCUUGGCUCAACUGAGGAAGUGCACCCGAAACUGAGUAGCUGGAGUACGAAAGAGGGUCGCGGAAUUCCCGGUGUAGAGGUGAAAUUCGUAGAUAUCGGGAGGAACACCGGUGGCGAAGGCGGCGACCUGGGUAGAUACUGACGCUGAGGUGCGAAAGCGUGGGGAGCAAACAGG